rnacentral:rRNA from 1 species
AUGCCGGCCCCCCGCGUGUUGUUUGACGAAAUGCCAACCUCAACGCCGACGGUGGACGACCCCUUCUACAACCAGUACAUGGAGGACGUGAUCUUCCAGGGUGGGCAUGGCCGUGCCUACGACCCUGAGGAGACCCAAAGUCAGGAUGGCCGCGCCCAGUACGUGCCUGAUGAAGAGGCCGACGACCGUGCUGACUACGACCAUGGUGAUUCGUGGCAUGAAGACGAUGACAUCUAUGUCGAAGGUGAAGAUGAAGAUGAAGCCAAUGAUGUUGAUAUUAGUGGCGCUCCAUUUUUCAUAGACGAGCUCACCCAAAGAGCGGAAGCACAAAAGAAGCGGAAGAGCAUUCGCACCGGUUCAUAUACACAAGAUGAGGACAAGUUGAUUUGCCAAUGUUGGAUGGAGAUUAGCCAAGAUCCAAGGACCGACGCGCAACAAAAGGGCAUUGUUUUUUGGACGAGAGUCCACAAAACAUUCCAUGAAAGGAAGAUGUUUGAGCCCUACCAAAUUACAAGCAACCGUGGCAUCGGUUCGAUUCAAAAAAGACGGUUGUUCAUCCAACAAGAGUGCAACAAGUAUUGUGUCGCAUUUGAGAGCGUUGAAGCACGGCCCGUGAGUGGUCUCGGCGUUGGGGACAUGGUAUGCUCUUCUCUUUCUAGCCCUUUCCUUGUUACGGCCAUGAUACUUCGGCCGUGUAUAUGUUUGCAUGUUCACUUGCUGUUGGUCAUGUGGUGUAGGCAUUUCAAUCUUUGGAGGCAUUCAAGGCCCGGCACAAUGACAAGCCAUUUACUCUGA